AGUGAACGCUGGCGGAAGGCCUAACACAUGCAAGUCGAACGGCAGCACAGCAGUAGCAAUACUGUGGGUGGCGAGUGGCGGACGGGUGAGGAAUACAUCGGAAUCUACCUUGUCGUGGGGGAUAACGUAGGGAAACUUACGCUAAUACCGCAUACGAACCAUGGUUGAAAGCGGCGGACCGCAAGGCGUCGCGCGAUUGG
rnacentral:rRNA from 1 species